rnacentral:rRNA from 1 species
UACGGAGGGGGCGAGCGUUAUUCGGAAUUAUUGGGCGUAAAGGGCGCGUAGGCGGCUGUACAAGUCAAAGGUGAAAUCCCUCGGCUCAACUGAGGAACUGCCUUUGAAACUGUACGCUUGAGGCCGGGAGGGGGUAGCGGAAUUCCCAGUGUAGCGGUGAAAUGCGUAGAUACUGGGAGGAACACCAGUGGCGAAGGCGGCUAGCUGGACAGUGACUGACACUCAACUCCGAAAGCGUGGGGAGCAAACAGG